rnacentral:lncRNA from 10 species
AGGCCUGCUCAGUCUCCUGCAAACUGGAGGUCUGACUGCUCCCUCCUGCGCCCCUCCUGCCCAUCCCCCUCCAGCCACCCGCCCUCUUAGUUCUCUCACUCUUCCUUCAUCUCUUUCUUUCUCUUCCUUUUUUUUUUUUUUGAGACGGAGUCUCGCUCGCCCUGUCACCCAGGCUGGAGUGCAGUGGUGUGAUCUCGGCUCACUGCAACCUCCGCAUCCCAGCUCCUGUUUUCUGCUGCCAAUGUUCUGAGAGCCCAUCACUCCUGGGUUAGGCCCCCUCUCUCCUUCCCUCCCUUCCACUCCUCAUGACCCAGACCUGACCUUUGCCGGAAGGACUGGUGUCAAAUCCUCAGAUAGACCUCAGUUGAGAUGCCUAAGGCCUAGGAAGGGGCUGGGACCCAACUUGGACCUGAAGAGUCAAGGUCAAAGCUCCUGUCCUCAGCACGUUUGAUCAGACACUGGAUCCCAAAGGCAGCAGGGCCUAUCAGGGGCUGACAUUUUGCUUUCUUUUUUCUUUUCUUUUCUUUUUUUUUUUUUUUUUUGAGACAGAGUCCCACUGUCGCCCAGGCUGGAGUGCAAUCGUGUGAUCUCGGCUCACUGCAACCUCUGCCUCCCGGGUUCAAGCGAUUCUCUUGCCUCAGCCUCCCAAGUUCAAACGAUUCUCCUGCCUCAGCCUCCUGAGUAGCUGAGAUUACAGGUGCCCGCCACUACACCUGGCUAAUUUUUGUAAUUUUAGUAGAGAUGGGGUUUCACCAUGUUGGUCAGGCUGGUCUCGAACUCCCGACCUCAGGUGAUCUGCCUGCCUUGGCCUCCCAAAGUGCUGUGAUUACAGGUGUGAGCCACCACGCCCAGACUGACGUUUCACUUUCUAGUUAUCAUGUUUAUUUCAGAGGACUUUGGUUUCUGUCUGUGCACCCACGUUUUGCUUGCAUAUUAGAAAGAAAAUACCUGCCAGUCUGCCCUCCACAAACUAUGCCCACAUGGCUCAUGUAAAAAGUUGGCCAAAUAUGUAGUGUAUUCAUAUAGUGGAAUAUUAGCACUUAGGGGAAGGAGAGCAUGUGACUGACCGAGGGUGAAGCUUAAACAGCCUUGAUCUUCCAGAUCUCUGCAGACUUUGGAGCAAGAGAGCGUCAUCAGACCGUCAGCAAAUGAAUUCCUCCCUCCGUAGGUGCUUGGUGCUAAAUAGACAUGUGUACUGGUUUCUGAGCCACACGUAACUGAAUAGCUGUGUACCCCUAUUCUUAACCACUUUUGUGGGAAUGCACAUUCCCUGGUGUUGAAAUUUCUCUUAAUGACAAACAUUUGUCGGCUUGGGUAAUCAUAUUGUUUUCAGUGCAAAAUAGAUGUGGUGAACCAGCCUCCUUUGCUGUUUGGUUCUUCUAAGCUGUUCUGCCCUAGGGCAUCUGCUCAGUCUUGAAGCAUUAUUUAACUCUUUAAGUUAUGGGAAUUUAACUUUUCAUGGCUUUCCAAUUAGUAAGUUCCUUCAAGGCAAGUCCAGUAUUGUGCUUGUGAUAUCACAGUGGCAUUCCGUCUCCCUCUCCCACUGCCUCACACAGUCCUCAUUGCAGGGGAGUCUCCAUCUUAGGGCAUUGUCAAUAGGUGGCUCUGGGAGCUGGAGGAAGGCAUUCAUUAUUUUUGCUCAAGGGUCAUUAUCCCAAAGUUAGAACUGGAGAGGCCCUCAGAGAUCAGCCCCCUUCCCAUGUGUGAUACAGAGAGGAAACUGAGUCCCACAGCUAGCUACCCUACCACUGAAACCUUCUCCUUCUCCAAACACAUGAACGAUAUUUUACCAUUUUAAACCCAGCAGUUUGAUGAUACUUGCUUUAUAUAUCUGUCGUAAUCCAUUAGUAGAAAAUUGGGCUUAUUCUUUUUUUAGUAGUUGUAUAUGGAGACUCAAAUUGUACCUUUAACCAUUUUGUGUUGGGGCACAGAUUUAAGAAGUUUAGUCACAUGGAGGUUGGAAAUUAACAGCAUAGGUUAUAAACUUCCAGUGGGGGUUGACUUGAUAGGAGGCAUCAGUGAUGUUUCCCUGGCAGAGAUUGAGGCCUGGUGCAUCCCUUUUGAGAGGGCUUCUCUUUGGAGGUGGCUUUGGUUUUCUCUUUGGUUCGUCAAAGGAAAACAGGCAGUUGGCAGAUGGCUGUAUCUUUUCAUUCUGCUCUGUAAGGCAUACCCUCUGGCCUUAGAAGUGAACCACUUUUUAUACUGUUUACACAGCUCUCUUGUAUAUACUGUUGUAGAGGUAACAUGCUGAUAAGACUUUUUUUGUUUCUGUCUUUUAAAGGAAAAUAUCUCCCUCAGAACCGCAGUUCUUAAAUUUUGUGUGGAAAAGACUCCUCCUGGGUUCUGUUAAAAUGCAGAUUGUGGGGUUCGUCCCCUGGAGAUUCUGCUUUAGUUGGCAGGCCAGAGUGGGCCUCAGGAAUCUGCCUUUCUUUCCAGCAUCCCAGCCCUUCUGCUGCAGAUCUCUGUGGCUUCCCUGUGAAACACUGCUCUCCUCCCGAUGAUGAAUGUUCUCUUUGGCUGUGAAGAAAAGACUGACCCUGUAUGAUGGUGGCUUUCUAAGUGGACUAGAAAUAACUAAACUGCUUGGGUGAAGACCAGUGAAGUGUGAGCCCUCCAUCCUCGGGUUGACUCUCUGUGGUUUAUAGCUGCAUAUCUUCUUUGCAUUCUGAGUUUCUAUGCUGCAGAGGAGUGGCUUUUGGCCCAAUUCUCCAUUGGCCCCAAGGUUUCUGUCCCCUUUGCUGAUCAUGGUGGCUGGCAGACCCUACGUGCUAGGGUUCCUUCCUGAGCAUUCAGAGGGAGGCUCCAGGAGGGAACAGUGUUCACUUGGCAUCUUUCGGUAUUUCUGGGAGGGUGAAUUGCAAUGAUCACCACCACCAAAGAGCUGGUAAGUACUUUCAGAUCCCUCAGCUUUUCACCAGAGAGAAGUGGGUAACAAUGAUAUAGGACGACCAUCUGAUACUCCUGAGACACCAACUCCACCUUAAAACACUGUUAGAAAUCACCGUGGUUCCCAAACAUUCCUGUAAAUUCACUGAAAGACUAGGCGGGUUCCUGGUACCUGGCUCCACUGCCUCCCAAAUCUCUGGUGGGUGGAGCCUGGGAACCUGUCCCAACUCCGUUUCCUAAAACUUCAUGUUAAGUCAGUCAUUCUUUUGCCCUAGUUUUAGUUGAAAAACAUCAAGCAGAAUAAUGUGGUAUUGCAUAGUGUGUGGAAGCCAAUGUGGGCAGAGGUGGAGCAAGACCAUCCAAUAGGCUACAGGCUGUGGCUGCAGGAGUUGUUAUUUAUCCUGAGCUCAUCCUUGGCUCUCUCACAUUGUGCAAUGGCAGAGCUGAGAGGGAACCAUAGGAAUGUAGCCCUGUGGUCACUUGGAGGCCUCGUGCUCCCUUUCUCUCUGAAACAGAAAGUAUUUUGACAGGCUUCUACAUUUCCUGUAGGGACGAGCAUGUCCGGAGAGUGGCCUUGUCCUUGCCCUUGUCUUGAUGAAAUCUGUGGCUCAGCCCAGCUGGGUGGCCUGGGCUGUGAGAGGCUUUGAUGUGGCCAGAUCCCUCACAAGCCCAGUUGUUUUCAUUGCCCACUUUCCAGUGAACUCACAUUUGCUCUUCUUUGUUCUAGUUGUAGGCCCUAUUCUUCUAGUCCAUUACCCUUAGUUGCUAAUCUCUGUUAAAUGGUAUUUGCUUAAAAAUGUAUUUGCUGAAUAUGGGUUUAAGAAAUGGCUUUUCUCUCAAGGUGUUUGCUUUUUAAAAGGGGUGCUUGAGUGUUAGAGAUGGCAGAACUCCUCAGACCACCACCUACCAGAAUGGAUGAUGAAUGUGGCAUCUUCCCAGGGAAUGACUGCCCACCUCAACACAGACUCUUCCGGGAAAUUGAUUAUGGGUUCUAGGUGUGUGCUCAGCCUUUGAAAGGGGCUAGAUUAGAACUAUUUUAAUAAGAUACAAUUAUUUUGUAAGACAUAUGAAUGCUAAUUUUAAGAUAGCAAUUUUAAAAGAUACGAAAGGGUUCAUGAGCAUAGCCAGUGCCUUUGGCACAGGAGGUGCUUGAUUUGCCUCAGUUCCUUUGUUCUGAGGGCACCAAGUGCUUCUUUCUAGCAAAGACUCAGGGAUAUUAAACCGAAAGGAGGACAAAGAAGUAGUGCCUAGCCCUAUAGUCUCUUUAUAACAGCUGUCCUUCCUCCUUCUAAGCCAAAAUGCUGUGAUUGGAGAGCCAGAGAAAACAUCUGAAGCCCAUAUUUGUUUCUCCUCCUUUGAUAUGGGGACUCCAGGUAUGGAAUUUAGCAUUUGAGUAAAUGCCACCUGACAUUUACUCAUUCAUUCAGCAAAGUCGGCACUCAAGAUGAGCUUUGUCCCUCUCCUCACAGAAUUUCUAGUCAAGCAGGGUGGUUGUGCAGAGAAAAAAUGAGAGAAAUGUGAGGGAAGGGUGCAUGCUGGUACCAUGGGCUGUAAGUGGGCUGUGCAUAGUUUCUGGCAGUUAGGGCCUCUCUGAGGAAGUGCAUCUAAGCCAAGGCCUGGAGGAUGGCCAGGAACUAGCUAGGUAGAGAGGAGGGGAGUCAGAUGACAGGGCUGAACUGCAGUGCCUUCCCAGAGCUGCAGUCAGGAUGGCUACUGGCUGGAAGCAGUUGUGGGGAGUGAGCUGAACCUGGGGGCACACCUGGGACCCAGAGCCAGAGCUGGGGGAGAGCCUAGACUGCUGGUCUUGGGAUUUUGGACUUUAACCUAAGAGCAGUGGAGUGCCUUUGAAGAUUUUAUA